AUGGAGCUUCUUCUCCAGCAGGCUCUUCUCCAGGAAGCGGAGCAGCUCCCGCAGGCGAGCGUCCAGCUGCCCGGCCCUCCAGUCGGCCGGCCGGCGGCGGAGCAGGAGGUGCAGCAGGGCCGUCUUCAGGUGGUAGUUGCCGAGCCCGCUGCGGCCGGUCAGGCGGCUCUGCUUGGAGAGCAGGAAGGAGGCGAUCUGCAGGCAGCUGAGGUGGCAGGCGCCCUCCGGCAGGGCCUUCGAGGUCACCCUGAGGAAGUGCCGCUCGUACACAGCGAAGGACAGGAGCCAGUCGCUGCUGGACGCCGGGGCCUCCCCCGAGGGCUCCCUGGGAAGGUGGGAGACAAAGUACAGGUCCGAGUCGUCACACUGGAUCACCGGAAUCAGGUGGAAGGGCAUAAACUUCCCCGAGCGGAACUUGAUCUUGAGGGAGCCGGGCCGGUCCAGCUGACCGAAGGCCAGGUCGAACUCGUACUUGUGGGCGAUGCGGUGCCAGGCCCGGGUCAGGGCCAUCUGGAACCACUUCAUGACCCGCGCGGUGUCCAGGUACGGGGAGUCUCCGGCGCACAGCAGGCUCUCCAGCUCGCCGCCGGGCCGCGCCACGCUGCUCCUGCCGUGGAGGAGACACAGCAUGUCGUCCCCGAGCGUGGUCUUGCCGCAGACGCAGCCCAGCGCACCCUCAUCGGCCCUGACCACCCUGAUCUGGCCGUAGCCCUGGCGGCCCAAGGGCACCGAGCGGCGGGAGCAGCAGAGCUCCGGGCGGAAGUGGUAGGGCUCGGGGGGCACGAAGGGCACAAAGAGCUCGCACAGCAGCGGCCUGUCCACCUGCCAGUUCUCGUACAUGCUGUCCACGCCGAUGAAGUCCUCCAGCUCCAUGUCCGUGUCCCGGUUGCAGAGGCUCCUCAGGGCUUCCAGCAAGUCAUCCACGAAGCCUUCCACGAACUCCCGGGUGCGGGCCGCGUCGGCCGUGGCGCCCCGGAUGCAAUGCUCAUAAAAGUGGUGGAGGGUGGCCUUGUUGGGCAGGGGGAAGGCCCGUCCUGGUGGUCCUGCCGCCACACCUCGAUCACCAGGAAGAGGAUCAUGCAGAGGGUGCUCCACAGGUCCCAGGCUGUGCGAUUCUCAUUCUGCUGCUGCCCUUCCUCUGCCACGUGCUCCAGGGCCUCCUUCUCAGCUGCCAGCCGGGCCACCUCCUCCUCCAGGCGGAGCUGCUCCAGCUGCAGCUUCUCCUGGUGCGCCUGCAUCUUGCGGAUGAUCUCCUCCUCGUUCUCGGGCACUGUGGCAUUCUCCCGGGGGAACAGCAGUGGGUGGUUGAUGAUGGCUGUCACCACCACCAGACACACCCGGAAGAGCCCCAGAGCCAUGGCUGGAACUUUCCUGCCACACAGAGAGACAGAUCAGUGGUCACACCGAGCUUCCCUCCGUGCCACUUCCUCCCCGGACCGUCACACCAAGCUCUGUCCCACUGCGUCGGUGACUGUCUUGUAG
rnacentral:lncRNA from 1 species